ensembl:processed_transcript Gm20528 predicted gene 20528
CAGCAAUUAGAUUGUUAUUAUUAUUAUUUUUUAAAUGUGCUGAAUGUAUAAUGUAUGGUGAAUUAUUUCCCUAACAAAAACAAUAUGGAUUUAACACUUGUUUCCAAGUUUCAACUGAUCAGAUAAUGAACUAAUACUUCUCCUUCACUUCCCCCCACUUCUCAAUGGGUCUUGGAUUUGUGUGAUUUCUUCACUCGCCCCUUUCCCCCAAAGCAUUUCCGGCAGCCAUAGGCACAACAUUUAAAGACAAUGAAGACCACUGUCAACACAAUGGCCAGGAGGAAGCCAAUCACAUCCAAGGAGUGGUACUGAUACCAGGUGAGGUCAUGGGCGGCCGGGCGCAGGUGUGGUGCCCCCUUGUGCCUCAUCACGUAUUCCACCCAGAACACAGCCAGGAGCAGACACACACACAGAGGAAGAGAGGUGGGAAAGGCUGCAGGAAACAUGGUAAAAUCACAGUCCAGAGCAAACCAGUCGCUUUGACUGUAAGCUUUCUAUUUGAGCUGGUUAAAAAGUACAGGCACAAGACCUACU